rnacentral:rRNA from 1 species
UGUUUCGGCAAGGGGGUCAUCCCGACUUACCAACCCGAUGCAAACUGCGAAUACCGGAGAAUGUUAUCACGGGAGACACACGGCGGGUGCUAACGUCCGUCGUGAAGAGGGAAACAACCCAGACCGCCAGCUAAGGUCCCAAAGUCAUGGUUAAGUGGGAAACGAUGUGGGAAGGCCCAGACAGCCAGGAUGUUGGCUUAGAAGCAGCCAUCAUUUAAAGAAAGCGUAAUAGCUCACUGGUCGAGUCGGCCUGCGCGGAAGAUGUAACGGGGCUAAACCAUGCACCGAAGCUGCGGCAGCGACGCUUAUGCGUUGUUGGGUAGGGGAGCGUUCUGUAAGCCUGUGAAGGUGUGCUGUGAGGCAUGCUGGAGGUAUCAGAAGUGCGAAUGCUGACAUAAGUAACGAUAAAGCGGGUGAAAAGCCCGCUCGCCGGAAGACCAAGGGUUCCUGUCCAACGUUAAUCGGGGCAGGGUGAGUCGACCCCUAAGGCGAGGCCGAAAGGCGUAGUCGAUGGGAAACAGGUUAAUAUUCCUGUACUUGGUGUUACUGCGAAGGGGGGACGGAGAAGGCUAUGUUGGCCGGGCGACGGUUGUCCCGGUUUAAGCGUGUAGGCUGGUUUUCCAGGCAAAUCCGGAAAAUCAAGGCUGAGGCGUGAUGACGAGGCACUACGGUGCUGAAGCAACAAAUGCCCUGCUUCCAGGAAAAGCCUCUAAGCAUCAGGUAACAUCAAAUCGUACCCCAAACCGACACAGGUGGUCAGGUAGAGAAUACCAAGGCGCUUGAGAGAACUCGGGUGAAGGAACUAGGCAAAAUGGUGCCGUAACUUCGGGAGAAGGCACGCUGAUAUGUAGGUGAAGCGACUUGCUCGUGGAGCUGAAAUCAGUCGAAGAUACCAGCUGGCUGCAACUGUUUAUUAAAAACACAGCACUGUGCAAACACGAAAGUGGACGUAUACGGUGUGACGCCUGCCCGGUGCCGGAAGGUUAAUUGAUGGGGUCAGCGCAAGCGAAGCUCUUGAUCGAAGCCCCGGUAAACGGCGGCCGUAACUAUAACGGUCCUAAGGUAGCGAAAUUCCUUGUCGGGUAAGUUCCGACCUGCACGAAUGGCGUAAUGAUGGCCAGGCUGUCUCCACCCGAGACUCAGUGAAAUUGAACUCGCUGUGAAGAUGCAGUGUACCCGCGGCAAGACGGAAAGACCCCGUGAACCUUUACUAUAGCUUGACACUGAACAUUGAGCCUUGAUGUGUAGGAUAGGUGGGAGGCUUUGAAGUGUGGACGCCAGUCUGCAUGGAGCCGACCUUGAAAUACCACCCUUUAAUGUUUGAUGUUCUAACGUUGACCCGUAAUCCGGGUUGCGGACAGUGUCUGGUGGGUAGUUUGACUGGGGCGGUCUCCUCCUAAAGAGUAACGGAGGAGCACGAAGGUUGGCUAAUCCUGGUCGGACAUCAGGAGGUUAGUGCAAUGGCAUAAGCCAGCUUGACUGCGAGCGUGACGGCGCGAGCAGGUGCGAAAGCAGGUCAUAGUGAUCCGGUGGUUCUGAAUGGAAGGGCCAUCGCUCAACGGAUAAAAGGUACUCCGGGGAUAACAGGCUGAUACCGCCCAAGAGUUCAUAUCGACGGCGGUGUUUGGCACCUCGAUGUCGGCUCAUCACAUCCUGGGGCUGAAGUAGGUCCCAAGGGUAUGGCUGUUCGCCAUUUAAAGUGGUACGCGAGCUGGGUUUAGAACGUCGUGAGACAGUUCGGUCCCUAUCUGCCGUGGGCGCUGGAGAACUGAGGGGGGCUGCUCCUAGUACGAGAGGACCGGAGUGGACGCAUCACUGGUGUUCGGGUUGUCAUGCCAAUGGCACUGCCCGGUAGCUAAAUGCGGAAGAGAUAAGUGCUGAAAGCAUCUAAGCACGAAACUUGCCCCGAGAUGAGUUCUCCCUGACUCCUUGAGAGUCCUGAAGGAACGUUGAAGACGACGACGUUGAUAGGCCGGGUGUGUAAGCGCAGCGAUGCGUUGAGCUAACCGGUACUAAUGAACCGUGAGGCUUAACCUU